UACGUAGGUGACAAGCGUUGUCCGGAUUUACUGGGCGUAAAGAGCGCGCAGGCGGUCGAUCAAGUCGAGUGUGAAAUCGCCCGGCUCAACUGGGCGGGGUCAGCGGAUACGGUGUGGCUAGAGCAAGCUAGGGGGCAAUGGAAUUCCCGGUGUAGUGGUGGAAUGCGUAGAUAUCGGGAGGAACACCAGUGGCGAAGGCGGUUGCCUGGAGCUUUGCUGACGCUGAUGCGCGAAAGCGUGGGGAGCGAUCCGG
rnacentral:rRNA from 1 species